rnacentral:misc_RNA from 1 species
AUCUUUUUUAGCUUGUCCUGUUUCCUGAAUUCAUUUUAACUAUGAUUAAUCACUUCUCACUUGAUGACAUGCUAUAAUUUGAGCUUGUACUUUUCUUCUUGUUCCUUAAAUAAACAAGCUGAAUAGUGCAUCUUUUUAGUCAAGGCUUGCUUGAUGAGUUGUUUUUAUUCAAAAUUUUGACUGUUCUGUGAUUUUGCAGCAAGUUGGUGGUGAA